rnacentral:rRNA from 1 species
UACGAAGGGGGCUAGCGUUGCUCGGAAUGACUGGGCGUAAAGGGCGCGUAGGCGGAUGGCACAGUCAGAUGUGAAAUUCCCGGGCUCAACCUGGGGGCUGCGUUUGAUACGUGCGGACUUGAGUUCGGAAGAGGGUCGUGGAAUUCCCAGUGUAGAGGUGAAAUUCGUAGAUAUUGGGAAGAACACCGGUGGCGAAGGCGGCGACCUGGUCCGAUACUGACGCUGAGGCGCGAAAGCGUGGGGAGCAAACAGG